rnacentral:rRNA from 1 species
GGCGAGUGGCGAACGGGUGAGUAAUACAUCGGAACGUGCCCAAUCGUGGGGGAUAACGCAGCGAAAGCUGUGCUAAUACCGCAUACGAUCUACGGAUGAAAGCAGGGGAUCGCAAGACCUUGCGCGAANNNNNCGGCCGAUGGCAGAUUAGGUAGUUGGUGAGGUAAAGGCUCACCAAGCCUUCGAUCUGUAGCUGGUCUGAGAGGACGACCAGCCACACUGGGACUGAGACACGGCCCAGACCCCUACGGGAGGCAGCAGUGGGGAAUUUUGGACAAUGGGCGCAAGCCUGAUCCAGCCAUGCCGCGUGCAGGAUGAAGGCCUUCGGGUUGUAAACUGCUUUUGUACGGAACGAAACGGCUCUUUCUAAUAAAGAGGGCUAAUGACGGUACCGUAAGAAUAAGCACCGGCUAACUACGUGCCAGCAGCCGCGGUAAUACGUAGGGUGCAAGCGUUAAUCGGAAUUACUGGGCGUAAAGCGUGCGCAGGCGGUGAUGUAAGACAGUUGUGAAAUCCCCGGGCUCAACCUGGGAACUGCAUCUGUGACUGCAUCGCUGGAGUACGGCAGAGGGGGAUGGAAUUCCGCGUGUAGCAGUGAAAUGCGUAGAUAUGCGGAGGAACACCGAUGGCGAAGGCAAUCCCCUGGGCCUGUACUGACGCUCAUGCACGAAAGCGUGGGGAGCAAACAGGA